GGGUUGUGAGGUUAAGCGACUAAGCGUACACGGUGGAUGCCCUGGCAGUCAGAGGCGAUGAAGGGCGUGCUAAUCUGCGAUAAGCGCCGGUAAGGUGAUAUGAACCGUUAUAACCGGCGAUACCCGAAUGGGGAAACCCAGUGUGACUCGUCACACUAUCAUUAACUGAAUCCAUAGGUUAAUGAGGCGAACCGGGGGAACUGAAACAUCUAAGUACCCCGAGGAAAAGAAAUCAACCGAGAUUCCCCCAGUAGCGGCGAGCGAACGGGGAGGAGCCCAGAGCCUGAAUCAGCAUGUGUGUUAGUGGAAGCGUCUGGAAAGGCGCGCGAUACAGGGUGACAGCCCCGUACACAAAAGCGCAUGUGCUGUGAGCUCGAUGAGUAGGGCGGGACACGUGGUAUCCUGUCUGAAUAUGGGGGGACCAUCCUCCAAGGCUAAAUACUCCUGACUGACCGAUAGUGAACCAGUACCGUGAGGGAAAGGCGAAAAGAACCCCGGCGAGGGGAGUGAAAAAGAACCUGAAACCGUGUACGUACAAGCAGUGGGAGCCCCACCACCAAAGCAUUCUCUGGUGUUGAAGGCCCUGCAAAGCAGCAUCGCGGUGGCGGAGCGUCGUUUGCGACGCCCAACACACAAAACAAGCGGUGAAUGCUUUGGGGUGGGGUGACUGCGUACCUUUUGUAUAAUGGGUCAGCGACUUAUAUUCUGUAGCAAGGUUAACCGAAUAGGGGAGCCGGAGGGAAACCGAGUCUUAAUUGGGCGUUAAGUUGCAGGGUAUAGACCCGAAACCCGGUGAUCUAGCCAUGGGCAGGUUGAAGGUUGGGUAACACUAACUGGAGGACCGAACCGACUAAUGUUGAAAAAUUAGCGGAUGACCUGUGGCUGGGGGUGAAAGGCCAAUCAAACCGGGAGAUAGCUGGUUCUCCCCGAAAGCUAUUUAGGUAGCGCCUCGUGAAUUCAUCUCCGGGGGUAGAGCACUGUUUCGGCUAGGGGGCCAUCCCGGCUUACCAACCCGAUGCAAACUGCGAAUACCGGAGAAUGUUAUCACGGGAGACACACGGCGGGUGCUAACGUCCGUCGUGAAGAGGGAAACAACCCAGACCGCCAGCUAAGGUCCCAAAGUCAUGGUUAAGUGGGAAACGAUGUGGGAAGGCCCAGACAGCCAGGAUGUUGGCUUAGAAGCAGCCAUCAUUUAAAGAAAGCGUAAUAGCUCACUGGUCGAGUCGGCCUGCGCGGAAGAUGUAACGGGGCUAAACCAUGCACCGAAGCUGCGGCAGCGACGCUGAUGCGUUGUUGGGUAGGGGAGCGUUCUGUAAGCCUGUGAAGGUGUGUCGUGAGGCAUGCUGGAGGUAUCAGAAGUGCGAAUGCUGACAUAAGUAACGAUAAAGCGGGUGAAAAGCCCGCUCGCCGGAAGACCAAGGGUUCCUGUCCAACGUUAAUCGGGGCAGGGUGAGUCGACCCCUAAGGCGAGGCCGAAAGGCGUAGUCGAUGGGAAACGGGUUAAUAUUCCCGUACUUGGUGUUACUGCGAAGGGGGGACGGAGAAGGCUAUGUUGGCCGGGCGACGGUUGUCCCGGUUUAAGCGUGUAGGUGUGUGUUCCAGGUAAAUCCGGUUCACUUUAACACUGAGGCGUGAUGACGAGGCACUACGGUGCUGAAGCAACAAAUGCCCUGCUUCCAGGAAAAGCCUCUAAGCAUCAGGUAACAUCAAAUCGUACCCCAAACCGACACAGGUGGUCAGGUAGAGAAUACCAAGGCGCUUGAGAGAACUCGGGUGAAGGAACUAGGCAAAAUGGUGCCGUAACUUCGGGAGAAGGCACGCUGACACGUAGGUGAAGUGAUUUACUCACGGAGCUGAAGUCAGUCGAAGAUACCAGCUGGCUGCAACUGUUUAUUAAAAACACAGCACUGUGCAAACACGAAAGUGGACGUAUACGGUGUGACGCCUGCCCGGUGCCGGAAGGUUAAUUGAUGGGGUCAGCGCAAGCGAAGCUCCUGAUCGAAGCCCCGGUAAACGGCGGCCGUAACUAUAACGGUCCUAAGGUAGCGAAAUUCCUUGUCGGGUAAGUUCCGACCUGCACGAAUGGCGUAAUGAUGGCCAGGCUGUCUCCACCCGAGACUCAGUGAAAUUGAACUCGCUGUGAAGAUGCAGUGUACCCGCGGCAAGACGGAAAGACCCCGUGAACCUUUACUAUAGCUUGACACUGAACAUUGAGCCUUGAUGUGUAGGAUAGGUGGGAGGCUUUGAAGUGUGGACGCCAGUCUGCAUGGAGCCGACCUUGAAAUACCACCCUUUAAUGUUUGAUGUUCUAACGUGGACCCGUAAUCCGGGUUGCGGACAGUGUCUGGUGGGUAGUUUGACUGGGGCGGUCUCCUCCUAAAGAGUAACGGAGGAGCACGAAGGUUGGCUAAUCCUGGUCGGACAUCAGGAGGUUAGUGCAAUGGCAUAAGCCAGCUUGACUGCGAGCGUGACGGCGCGAGCAGGUGCGAAAGCAGGUCAUAGUGAUCCGGUGGUUCUGAAUGGAAGGGCCAUCGCUCAACGGAUAAAAGGUACUCCGGGGAUAACAGGCUGAUACCGCCCAAGAGUUCAUAUCGACGGCGGUGUUUGGCACCUCGAUGUCGGCUCAUCACAUCCUGGGGCUGAAGUAGGUCCCAAGGGUAUGGCUGUUCGCCAUUUAAAGUGGUACGCGAGCUGGGUUUAGAACGUCGUGAGACAGUUCGGUCCCUAUCUGCCGUGGGCGCUGGAGAACUGAGGGGGGCUGCUCCUAGUACGAGAGGACCGGAGUGGACGCAUCACUGGUGUUCGGGUUGUCAUGCCAAUGGCACUGCCCGGUAGCUAAAUGCGGAAGAGAUAAGUGCUGAAAGCAUCUAAGCACGAAACUUGCCCCGAGAUGAGUUCUCCCUGAGACUUUAGGUCUCCUGAAGGAACGUUGAAGACGACGACGUUGAUAGGCCGGGUGUGUAAGCGCAGCGAUGCGUUGAGCUAACCGGUACUAAUGAACCGUGAGGCUUAACCUUACAACGCCGAAG
rnacentral:rRNA from 1 species